ACAUUAUGAUAGCUCAGUGGCAGAGAGGUGGGGCCUUGACCCAUGCGGUCCGGGUUCGAACCCCGGUCGAUGCA